UACUUAGCAUUUUUUUUUUUUUUUACUUAGACCUUUUGAAUUUGCUUUUAAUUUAUACCCCUGGCCUUGUUCUCUUGACCAAAUAAAAGCCCUAAGAGAGCUUCCACUGCCAGCAGCCUUCCAAUUUGCUCUGUUCCCCCUUGGGCCCUGUUGAUUGGGCCCAGUGAUCACCUAAAAAGAGUGCAAAGAGUCAGGAAGGCUUGUGGGUUCAGUCUUUCUGUGCUAACACCAGGCCACAUCCAGGCCUGAUGUACUAACUGAUCUCCAGUUCAUUCCUUUUGCAAUUUUUGGCCUUGAUUCAUAGUUCCUGAUUCUUGAUUGGCUCUGAAAUCCUCCCCAUUUUCAAAAGGGAUGCAGUCAAGCAGGCCAAAGCGCUCCAUGUUAGCUAACAAAUGUUUGCAAAUCAUAAUAAUGUAGGAAGAGAACCAUAAACUAAAUGAACAACAGGCAUUAGCCCUCAUGCUGUCACAUAAGCAUUCCUCAAAAUAUAAUCAUGCUUCUAAACAUGGGCUGGCAAUUCAGGAAAGGGCCACUGAAAAUAUUAGCCUCGUUCUUUUCUCUGUAGAGUGAGCACAGACUAUUCCUAAACCACAUUGCAGUAUGCCAACAUUGUAAAUUAAUGCCUGAUUGGUUACCUAGAAGUAAGACAAUCUUACUUUUAGGCAUCUAGAACACUGAGAAAUCCAGGAUGGACACUUAACACUACCAAAGAUUGAUCUAUUUUGGAGUUAGUUCUUUAGAUCAGAGGUCCCCAACCCCAGGACUGCGGACUGCCACUGGUCUUUGGCCUGUCAGGCACCCGGCCACACAGCUGGAGUGUGAAAAAAAAGGAAAAAACUGAAAAUCUCAAGAGGAUUCCAGGAAAUCAAAACAAUGAAUUAUUGAAUCAAGAAUUUGAAAGAGAAAAUAGAUGCAUACUGAAAAAAGAAUUUUGUUUAGUGAGAUAGAUGUAAUAAUGAAGGCAUGUUGAUAACGGGGGAGCUAUGUAUAUAUGAGGGGAGGGAUAUAUUGGAAAUCUCUGUAUCUUCCUCUCAAUCUUGCUGUGAUCCUAAAACUGCUCUAAAAAAUAUUUUGAGAAGGAAUAAUGAUGUGGUAAACAUGUUCUGUUAUUUAAAAAGAGAGACUUUUCAUAGCCGCCUCCCUCCCCCUCUACACACACACAGAGUCCUGUCCGUCUUCAUUCCCUUACUCAAUAAUUUGUACAGACACAGCCACUGGGCUCCAGUAAUCCUAAAGUUUCUAGAAAAUCAAGCACAGAAAAAGGUUAAAACCCUGAGGGAAUAAAAGAAUUCCUUUGCAUCCAUUGCAUUUCUCAGGAAGUGAACUAACAAAUUCACUGCUUUUAAAUGAGGAAAUUUUCUCAGUGAAAUUGAUUCCAAACCUUCGUUAGGUCAACUGUUCCCAGAUUUCUUAGCUGAUGCCUGAUCUGACUAUUCCUUAUCUUUAGUACAGAAACCAAGGUGAAUGACCUUUAAAAAACAUAUUAGACUGUUGACGUGUCUUCUAUGUUGUACUCUAGGUAAAAACGAUAAACCAGGAAAAAGAAAGUAAAAUUCAACCUUAGGCUCAUGGAUCCAGAGUGGAUAAUUAUGAGUCUGUAGUAUCUACAUGCAUGUGAUGAGGUUCAAGGACAAUAACCAUAAAGCAAAGACUUAAAAGGUUUUAUCAUUAGAAUAAUUGUAAUUCACUUGAUCUCUCAAUGUAACAAUACUUCGGUCUACUGUCUCAAGCCAUUAUUAUGUCUUACACUCAGCAUAUUGGUUUGUCUACCAUUAAAUAUUUAUUUUCUACAGUGCUUUCUGGAAGGCAAACAAAGCAGCCACUCUGCUACUUUAUAUUGAUUCCUGAGUUGUCCUUCGGAAACGCUUUCAGGAAGUUUAAUAGGUUUGAAAGAUAUUUAGACCUGUGACUGGCAAAUAUACUUCCUUCUUUUUAUUUCAAUAAGAGAGUACUAGAACUUAGAUCUUUAUUGUUUAAUCUAGUCAGUGCUGUCAUUGUCAAUCAAGUUCUCAAAUGACACUUGUCCUGAGCUGUAACUGAUCUAUUCAGAAGAAUAUGAAAAUAGUAAAGACGGCAACUAUGCAUGUUUUUACCGGACACGAUUUUAAUUGCUUUAAAAUGAAGUUAUGCAACCAAUGAGGAAUGGAGCUUUUGGAGUGGCCUGAAGCUAAAGGUUUCAGGUGUAUUUUUGCUUUCUUUGAAGAAAGAACCAAAUCAUUUUAUUUAAUAAAAAGGCCAUUUAUCAAGAAUUUCUUAAAGCUGUUUUAAACCUGAGUUUGCAAUUUAUAGAAUAUGUUCAAGCAGCCUCAGUGCCCUUUUAAUUGGAUGGUUUUCACAGAUUUAUCCAAUUUGAGAUUUAUCCAGUGAGAAUUCCCUUUGUUCAAGUAUAUAUGUCUUCUCUUCCAUAAAGCAGAUUCAAAUGAAAGAGUGCAAUCUGAUAUAUCAGACAUGUCAGUUAUACAUUUGAUGUGGUAAAUUUAUAAGAGAGGCCAAUUAUUGUUAUGAAAAAAUACAAUGAAAUACAUGAUAGUCAUUUACUGUUUUUAUAACUAAUCUAAAAGUAUUUACUAAAAAGAAACUAUUUCUUUUCAUAUGUACUUUACUUUUUACUUUAACCCUUCAUAUGUCCUUUAAAUAAAGAGAAGAAAAAAAGUCAUUUAUAUUUAUCCACAUAUUUUCUAUUUCAGGUGGUCCUCAUUCAUUCUUGUAGAUCCAAGUUACCAUCUGUUAUUAUUUUCUUUGUCACCUGAAGAAUUUUCAGAACUAUUUCUUCCUAUAUGUAGCAUGUAUAGAUACUCUAAAAAGUCCAUUAUAUGAUGUAUAAAACAAAGCAUACAAUGUAGUCUCUGCCCUAAUUAUUUGUAAUUUAUAUAAAACCUUUUAUUUUUUA
rnacentral:lncRNA from 1 species